UUACUUUAUAAUUUCUUCAACAGAGCAGUGAAGACAUUGGUUCAACUCCCUGCAAAAAACUGAAGACUGAAAAUUCUAAUUCAAACUCAAAGGAUGAUGUCAACAUUGAAGAAAAUGAAAAGGAUGGUGUGAAAAUGUCUACUCCUGACAGAGUGAAAGAAAAGCUUAAUGGGCAGCCCAACAAUUCAAAGUCCAGUGUUUGUGGUUCUAAAGAAGAAGAGGAUGCGUUUUCUGAAACUUUAGUUUGUAGCAUUUGUCAAGAGCUUCUUCAUGACUGUAUCAGUUUGCAGCCAUGCAUGCAUUCGUUUUGUUCUGGUUGCUACUCAGAGUGGAUGGAUCGCUCAGAUGAAUGCCCUUCU
rnacentral:sRNA from 1 species